AGAGUUGUCUGAUAACCCGUUGAAGAUUUUGCCAUCUGAUAUUUUCGUUACAAAUGCUAAAUUGGAGUGGCUGUACCUGUAUGAAAUGCAAUUGCACCACCUACCUCCAGGAAUCUUUAACAAGAACACACAGCUAAUCAAAUUACGCCUGAAUGACAACGACAUGAAAGGAUUGGAUGGAAGUGCCUUCAAAAACUUGACAAGGCUAGAGGAACU